rnacentral:rRNA from 1 species
AUUGAACGCUGGCGGCAUGCUUUACACAUGCAAGUCGAACGAGGUAGCAAUACCUAGUGGCGAACGGGUGAGUAACACGUGGGGAACCUGCCCAUUAGUCGAGGAUAACUAUUGGAAACGAUAGCUAAAACUGGAUAGUAUAUCGGAAGGCAUCUUCUGAUAUUUAAAGGUCCUGCAAGGGAACGCUAAUGGAUGGCCCUGCGGAGCAUUAGCUAGUUGGUGAGGUAACGGCCCACCAAGGCGACGAUGCUUAGCUGAGCUGAGAGGCUAAACAGCCACACUGGGACUGAGACACGGCCCAGACUCCUACGGGAGGCAGCAGUAGGGAAUUUUCGGCAAUGGAGGAAACUCUGACCAAGCAAUGCCGCGUGAAUGAUGAAAUUCUUCGGAAUGUAAAGUUCUGUUGUUAGGGACGAAUGGCAGUGGUAGGAAAUGACCAUUGAUUGACGGUACCUGACUAGAAAGCCCCGGCUAACUAU